GGGGUAUAUGUCUUCGGAUAUAGAGACCGGCGCACGGGUGCGUAACGCGUAUGCAAUCUACCUUUUACAGAGGGAUAGCCCAGAGAAAUUUGGAUUAAUACCUCAUAGUAUAGCUCUACCGCAUGGUAGUACUAUUAAAGUCACAACGGUAAAAGAUGAGCAUGCGUCCCAUUAGCUAGUUGGUAAGGUAACGGCUUACCAAGGCAACGAUGGGUAGGGGUCCUGAGAGGGAGAUCCCCCACACUGGUACUGAGACACGGACCAGACUCCUACGGGAGGCAGCAGUGAGGAAUAUUGGACAAUGGGCGCAAGCCUGAUCCAGCCAUGCCGCGUGCAGGAUGACGGUCCUAUGGAUUGUAAACUGCUUUUGUACGAGAAGAAACACUGCUUCGUGAAGCAGCUUGACGGUAUCGUAAGAAUAAGGAUCGGCUAACUCCGUGCCAGCAGCCGCGGUAAUACGGAGGAUCCAAGCGUUAUCCGGAAUCAUUGGGUUUAAAGGGUCCGUAGGCGGUUUAGUAAGUCAGUGGUGAAAGCCCAUCGCUCAACGGUGGAACGGCCAUUGAUACUGUUGAACUUGAAUUAUUAGGAAGUAACUAGAAUAUGUAGUGUAGCGGUGAAAUGCUUAGAGAUUACAUGGAAUACCAAUUGCGAAGGCAGGUUACUACUAAUUGAUUGACGCUGAUGGACGAAAGCGUGGGGAGCGAACAGG
rnacentral:rRNA from 1 species